rnacentral:rRNA from 1 species
AUUGAACGCUGGCGGCAGGCCUAAAACAUGCAAGUCGAGCGAGCGGCGGACGGGUGAGUAAUGUAUGGGGACUGCACGAGAGAGGGGGAUAACUACUGGAAACGGAGGCUAAUACCGCAUACUGUCGGAGCACCCAUAUGGGAUUUGCUAGUAGGUAAGGUAAUGGCUUACCUAGGCGACGAGCCCUAGCUGGUCUGAAAGGAUUAGCAGCCACACUGGGACUGAGACACGGCCCAGACUCCUACGGAGGCAGCAGUGGGGAAUAUUGCACAAUGGGCGCAAGCCUGAUGCAGCCAUGCCGCGUGUAUGAAGAAGGUCCUAGGGUUGUAAAGUACUUUCAGUCGGGAGGCGUUACCGACAGAAGAAGCACCGGCUAACUCCGUGCCAGCCGCCGCGGUAAUAC